GACGAACGCUGGCGGCGUGCUUAACUCAUGCAAGUCGAACGGAAAGGCCUCUUUCGGGGGGUACUCGAGUGGCGAACGGGUGAGUAACACGUGAGUAACCUGCCCUUUACUUUGGGAUAACUUCAGGAAACUGGGGCUAAUACCGGAUAGGAGCUCCUGCUGCAUGGUGGGGGUUGGAAAGUUUCGGCGGUUGGGGAUGGACUCGCGGCUUAUCAGCUUGUUGGUGGGGUAGUGGCUUACCAAGGCUUUGACGGGUAGCCGGCCUGAGAGGGUGACCGGCCACAUUGGGACUGAGAUACGGCCCAGACUCCUACGGGAGGCAGCAGUGGGGAAUAUUGCACAAUGGGUGGAAGCCUGAUGCAGCAAAGCCGUGUGCGGGAUGACGGGCUUCGGGUUGUAAACCGCUUUCGCUCAUGACGAAGCUUUGUGUGACGGUAGUGGGUAAAGAAGCACCGGCUAACUACGUG
rnacentral:rRNA from 1 species